UUUUAUGGUUAAGUUAGAAAGGGCGCACGGUGGAUGCCUUGGCACUAGGAGCCGAUGAAGGACGGUACAAACACCGAUAUGCUCCGGGGAGCUGUACGUAAGCUUUGAUCCGGAGAUUUCCGAAUGGGGAAACCCCCUGUCUUUAAUCGGACAGGAUUCCUGCCUGAAUCCAUAGGGCAGGAAGGGCACACCCGGGGAACUGAAACAUCUCAGUACCCGGAGGAAGAGAAAGCAAUUGCGAUUUCCCAAGUAGCGGCGAGCGAACAGGAAACAGCCCAAACCGGAAGGCUUGCCUUC
rnacentral:rRNA from 1 species